AAUGGGUCAGCGACUUAUAUUCUGUAGCAAGGUUAACCGAAUAGGGGAGCCGAAGGGAAACCGAGUCUUAACUGGGCGUUAAGUUGCAGGGUAUAGACCCGAAACCCGGUGAUCUAGCCAUGGGCAGGUUGAAGGUUGGGUAACACUAACUGGAGGACCGAACCGACUAAUGUUGAAAAAUUAGCGGAUGACUUGUGGCUGGGGGUGAAAGGCCAAUCAAACCGGGAGAUAGCUGGUUCUCCCCGAAAGCUAUUUAGGUAGCGCCUCGUGAAUUCAUCUCCGGGGGUAGAGCACUGUUUCGGCAAGGGGGUCAUCCCGACUUACCAACCCGAUGCAAACUGCGAAUACCGGAGAAUGUUAUCACGGGAGACACACGGCGGGUGCUAACGUCCGUCGUGAAGAGGGAAACAACCCAGACCGCCAGCUAAGGUCCCAAAGUCAUGGUUAAGUGGGAAACGAUGUGGGAAGGCCCAGACAGCCAGGAUGUUGGCUUAGAAGCAGCCAUCAUUUAAAGAAAGCGUAAUAGCUCACUGGUCGAGUCGGCCUGCGCGGAAGAUGUAACGGGGCUAAACCAUGCACCGAAGCUGCGGCAGCGACACUAUGUGUUGUUGGGUAGGGGAGCGUUCUGUAAGCCUGUGAAGGUGUACUGUGAGGUAUGCUGGAGGUAUCAGAAGUGCGAAUGCUGACAUAAGUAACGAUAAAGCGGGUGAAAAGCCCGCUCGCCGGAAGACCAAGGGUUCCUGUCCAACGUUAAUCGGGGCAGGGUGAGUCGACCCCUAAGGCGAGGCCGAAAGGCGUAGUCGAUGGGAAACAGGUUAAUAUUCCUGUACUUGGUGUUACUGCGAAGGGGGGACGGAGAAGGCUAUGUUGGCCGGGCGACGGUUGUCCCGGUUUAAGCGUGUAGGCUGGUUUUCCAGGCAAAUCCGGAAAAUCAAGGCUGAGGCGUGAUGACGAGGCACUACGGUGCUGAAGCAACAAAUGCCCUGCUUCCAGGAAAAGCCUCUAAGCAUCAGGUAACAUCAAAUCGUACCCCAAACCGACACAGGUGGUCAGGUAGAGAAUACCAAGGCGCUUGAGAGAACUCGGGUGAAGGAACUAGGCAAAAUGGUGCCGUAACUUCGGGAGAAGGCACGCUGAUAUGUAGGUGAAGCGACUUGCUCGUGGAGCUGAAAUCAGUCGAAGAUACCAGCUGGCUGCAACUGUUUAUUAAAAACACAGCACUGUGCAAACACGAAAGUGGACGUAUACGGUGUGACGCCUGCCCGGUGCCGGAAGGUUAAUUGAUGGGGUUAGCGGUAACGCGAAGCUCUUGAUCGAAGCCCCGGUAAA
rnacentral:rRNA from 1 species